rnacentral:tRNA from 1 species
UCCUUGGUGGCUCAGAUGGUAAAGCGUCUGCCUAUAAUGCAGGAGACCCAAGUUCGAUCCCUGGGUUGGGAA